ensembl:lncRNA
CGAGAAACAAGGAAGCCCAUGAGGGUGGGGAAUUCCCAAAGAACUAGAAAACAAGGAAGCAGGUGUCUCUGGAUAAGGGUCAUGAUUAACAACCAAACUCACCUGCUGUAUAAAAGAGAGGAGAAAAAUAAACUUGGGCGCUCGGUCUCUGGGAGCCCUCCCAACUCUAUCUCUUUGUCUUUCUUUUUCUUCAUCUUCACUCCCCCAUUCAGGUGCUGUUCAACAAGUGACGGCGGGCUCCGUCAAUUCACCACGAAGUCCACACUUUUACUGCAUUCUUUUUGUCACGGCCUAAGACCUAGUGGGUGAUGAGGCCCUGUCGGCUUCUUCAACCAUACGCUGUCAUUCUCUGCCUGCUGCCUGUGUCCCACUGAUCUACUGGUCUCCUCUUCCUCAGAGUCUCAGAUUCAUGACUGCCUUGAGCAGUCCCUCUGCCUGAGAUGCUGGCCUCCUGCCCCACACAGUAUCAUGGCCCACAUCUUACGGUGUUCAGAUCUCAGCUCCUCACAUGGAUCUCUCUGAACAGUCUGUGUCACAUGUGAAGUCACUCCAGUGUAUGUUCUAACCUCGCUUCAUGUCACCCAUCACACUCAGCACUACAGGAUAUUCUGUCUCACAGCUUUGACACUUGCUCCCUCUCUGCCUGCCCCAUCGGACCAAAAGCACCAUGAGUGCAGUUCUUAAGCUCUGUGUAUCCAAAGUGUGGAUCGAGGUGGACACAAACUAUUUGGUGAAUGGAUUAAUGAAUACGCUGCCUCACAUGACACGAAAGCUGGGAGAGGGAGAUGGACAGCUUUCACGAUUCUCCAAGCAGUUAGACAUCCAGACGCUUUUCGGCUGUCACAACUGAAGAUUCUGUGAUAUGCCCUGAAGAAGGUGAGGAAACCAAUAUGCAAAAAAGGAAAAGGAGAGCAUAUGUGCCCGCAAGGAGUAAAGACAAGACAGAGACGCUUUGCUGCCCUCAGCUAACCUAAAUAGAUUCCUGUUACAUGGAAUACGAAGAAUCUUAAUCAGCCAUGCUGGAUUAUGCACCUCCAUUGCGCCCAUCCUGGGUACAUUUCCUGGAAAAGGCAGGAUCUACUCAAAAGCCCAUGGACUUCAAAUGCCUAAGAUCAAAGCAG